GUUUGACAGUUGGCCUGUCAGUUCUUAAACGGCUGAAGUCUGUAUAAAUUUAACUCUUCUAAGCUUUUCUUUUUCCUCAGACAAAUCCUCAUUUUCCAGUCGUCUUCAAGGAAAUGCAUUUUCCAAGCAAUCUAUUGUCCAGGACUUGGCCAAGCAGCUGACUCUUCAAAACAGUACUUUAUUGCCAAGUUUCCCAGAUGUUUGCAGAGCCUAUUUGAUCCUUACCACAGAAGAGAAUUAGAAUCAGUUCUCUGAAGAGGACCAGGAUAUUGGACAUUAUCAAGACAAGACAAGGCAAAGGAAAGUACGUUAUAGUGGGA